rfam:Gossypium arboreum cultivar AKA8401 contig_35108_1, whole genome shotgun sequence.
AAUCCAUGGUGUGGGUAUCUUUAAAUUAGUGUUUUAAAAUGCUCCCAAGCUUCAUGAAAACGUUCUCCUUCUAAUUGUUUAAAAGUUGUGAUGUCUCUCUUUAGUUG